rnacentral:rRNA from 1 species
AACGAACGCUGGCGGCGUGCUUAACACAUGCAAGUCGAACGGAAAGGCCCUGCUUGCCGGGUGCUCGAGUGGCGAACGGGUGAGUAACACGUGGGUGAUCUGCCCCUUACUUUGGGAUAAGCCUGGGAAACUGGGUCUAGUACUGGAUAGGACCAUGCUGUAGGUGGUGUGGUGGAAAGAUUAGUUUCGGUAAGGGAUGAGCUCGCGGCCUAUCAGCUUGUUGGUGGGGUAAUGGCCUACCAAGGCGUCGACGGGUAGCCGGCCUGAGAGGGUGGACGGCCACAUUGGGACUGAGACACGGCCCAGACUCCUACGGGAGGCAGCAGUGGGGAAUAUUGCACAAUGGGCGCAAGCCUGAUGCAGCGACGCCGCGUGGGGGAUGACGGCCUUCGGGUUGUAAACUCCUUUCAGCCAUGACGAAGCCCUUGUGGUGACGGUAGUGGUAGAAGAAGCACCGGCUAACUACGUG